CCUACGGGAGGCAGCAGUGAGGAAUAUUGGUCAAUUGGCGGGAGCCUGAACCAGCCAAGUCGCGUGAGGGAAGACGGUCCUAUGGAUUGUAAACCUCUUUAGGCGGGGAGCAAUGCCGGGCACGCGUGCCCGGAGGGAGAGUACCCGCAGAAUAAGCAUCGGCUAACUCCGUGCCAGCAGCCGCGGUAAUACGGAGGAUGAGAGGGUUACCGGGAUUUUUUGGGUUAAAGGGGUGCUUGGGCGGAUUUUUAAGUCAGCGGUAAAAUUUCCGGGCUAAACCCGGGCCUGCCGUUGAUACUGGGGAUCUUGAGUGGGCGAGAAGUAUGCGGAAUGCGUGGUGUAGCGGUGAAAUGCAUAGAUAUCACGCAGAACUCCGAUUGCGAAGGCAGCAUACCG
rnacentral:rRNA from 1 species